AGGACGAACGCUGGCGGCGCGCUUAACACAUGCAAGUCGAACGUGAAGCUGGAGCUUGCUCCGGUGGAAAGUGGCGAACGGGUGCGUAACACGUGAGCAACCUGCCCCGAAGACUGGGAUAACACCGGGAAACCGGUGCUAAUACCGGAUACCUUCUUCCGAUCGCAUGGUUGGACGAAGAAAUGGAUUCCGCUUCGGGAUGGGCUCGCGGCCUAUCAGCUUGUUGGUGAGGUAACGGCCCACCAAGGCGACGACGGGUAGCUGGUCUGAGAGGACGACCAGCCACACUGGGACUGAGACACGGCCCAGACUCCUACGGGAGGCAGCAGUGGGGAAUCUUGCUCAAUGGGCGAAAGCCUGAAGCAGCGACGCCGCGUGCGGGAUGAAGGCCUUCGGGUUGUAAACCGCUUUCAGCAGGGACGAAAUUGACGGUACCUGCAGAAGAAGGCCGGCCAACUACGUGCCAGCAGCCGCGGUAA
rnacentral:rRNA from 1 species